rnacentral:rRNA from 1 species
AUCUUAAGCUUGCUUCCUGAUGUCAGUCGUGAUUACCCGCUGAACUUAAGCAUAU